CCUGGAGCGUUCUCCCUGGGGCCCCGACCCCGGCCCGUGGGCGAGCGCAGUGGGGGGGAAAGGGGGAGGGGGAGAUCCGGUCACGUGCCACCCCAGCGGCAGCGUUGGGCCCGGAGGAUCCGCUUCUGAGCGGAGCUACCGACUCGAACGCGGACCCCUCCCCCUCCCGGGGCCCUCAUGGCGGCGGCGGGGGGGGUGGAGGGGGCGCGCGCGCGCGCGCGGGGAGCCGCCGGCGGGCGGGGCUACAGGCGCCUACGCGGCUGCGUCGCCUCGCCCCGCCGCUGAGCGCCAGUGACAAGACUGCACCUGAGCUGGUGCUCUCUGCUCCUCCAUCUUCUUGUCUCUCUCACUGGAGUUCUCUGACCUGUCUACACACAAUUUCAGUAGCUUCCUUGGCCCUGGAUGGCUGGCGAAGAGGGAUGUUUAGUCUGAUGGCUAAUUGCUGUAACUGGUUAAAAGGGUGGCGGGAGCCUGUCAGGAAGGUGACACUAGUGAUGGUGGGACUUGAUAAUGCUGGUAAAACUGCUACAGUGAAAGGAAUUCAAGGAGAGUCUCCUGAAGAUGUAGCUCCAACAGUGGGAUUUUCUAAAAUUGACCUUAAACAGGGAAGGUUUGAAGUCACUAUCUUUGACUUAGGAGGUGGAAAACGAAUACGAGGCAUCUGGAAGAAUUACUAUGCUGAGGCAUAUGGGAUAAUAUUUGUUGUGGAUUCCAGUGACACAGAGAGAAUGGAAGAGACGAAAGAGACCAUGACUGAAGUUCUAAGGCAUCCUAGGAUAUCUGGGAAGCCUAUAUUAGUGCUGGCAAAUAAGCAGGACCGAGAAGGAGCGUUGGCAGAAGCAGAUGUAAUUGAGUGCUUAUCGCUGGAAAAGCUUGUCAAUGAGCAUAAAUGUCUGUGUCAGAUUGAGCCUUGCUCAGCUGUCAUGGGCUAUGGGAAAAAAAUUGACAAAUCUAUAAGAAAAGGUCUGUAUUGGCUGCUACAUACUAUAGCAAAAGAUUUUGAUACCUUAAAUGAGCGCAUACAAAAAGACACAACAGAGCAAAAAGCAUAUGAGGAACAAGAGAAGCGAGAACGAGCUGAACGAGUAAGGAAGAUACGAGAAGAAAGAGAACAAAGGGAGAGAAAAGAAAGUGAAUGUGAAGGAAGAAAUGUACCUAAGGAGGUUGACUCUGAGCCAAUUUCUAGCAACCCCUUCCAGCCAAUAUCUACUGUAAUCACUGAGAAUGAAAAAAGAAUUGAAAAAGAGAAGAGGCAGAGGAUGGAGACUGAAAAAAAUGCCAUUGCCUUGAAACCUAAAGCAGAGCAGGAACAAAUGGACACACAGAGCCUAACCAGCAGCUGUAGCCAAAAAACAAAUGAUUAUAGACUGAUAGAAACAUACAAAUCUGCAUUCGCACAGCAAUUGGAGCGUGAAGAAGAGGGUGACCAACAAACCUCGGAAUGCCUUGAUUCAGAUACCAGUAAAAAGAAAACAAAGAAACUGAAGUUAAAAAGGAGUCACAGGGUGGAACCAGUCAGUGCAGAGGAAGCUGUUCCCAAAAAUCCGACCCCACCUCCACCUCUUCCACCAGAUCUUGGAAAUCAUGCACCUUGGUAUAACUUGAACAUUACUUUUAUGACAGGAAAAAAAAAUACUGAUGGUACCUACAGCAAUUAACAGGCAGGUACAAAAAUAUUUGAGAUGAUUUAGACAUCUUGUCUUACAAAUGGUUAGUGUCCUGAUUUUCAGGAUGAUCUGCUUGUCCUAUCUGAUUGAAGUACACUGUUCUUCCAGCUUUUAAUUGGGUAACUUUUUCAGUAUCUACAUCUAUUGAUGGAAUCUCUUACAGUGUAUGCAGUUAGUAUUAGAUUGAAAGUGUAAAGCUGGGGAAACAUGGAAAGUGUUUUGUCUUUUGCAUUAACAAAAGUGCAAGAAAAUUCAAUAAGUGCAACUCUCUAAAAUAUUAAGAUAUUUUUCACUGCUUUUUAUAUUACAUUUUAAAUAUUUUGUUUUCAGUGGAUUCACUAAUACACCAAGUAUAAAGUAUUCCUUUCCCUACUCCCUGAUACUUUCUUGUCUCCUGAGGAGAAAGAUUCCCCCUCCCUCCCUCCCAUCUUUUCUUCAGAGCCAAAUAUUUUGACAGAGUGGUACGUUUUUUAAUGUGUUUGUUUUUCUUUAGUUGGCUGGGGAACCCCCAAAGUUAAUAGACUUCGAAAACUUGAACCUCUUGGUGAAACCCGUCAUACUGGAGUUUAAAGAGAAGAAAGAGAGAAAGAAAAGCCAGAAAAGAGAUUUCUAUGGAAAGCCGCUACCUCCGUUGACUAUACGGCAGAGACCUAACAGUGACAUCCAUGAUGUCAUUUCUUAACCAGAUCACAUGCUACAUUUUUAACUUAAUCACAAAAUUAUAACAAUUUUUCUUACUUGAAGAAAACUUGAUACUGUUUAAAAAGUUGCUGUGAGAUGAGACAGUAAGAACCCAUUUUCUUUUCUGCCACGGGUUAAUUCUACUGGACUGGAUUGAUGAGAUUUUCUACUUGGCUUAUUAGUUACUGUUCACAUACUCACCAGCUCUUCUUCAGGGGUUAAUAGGGACAUGAAGAACAGAAACGUUUGAGAGCACUUGCAUACAUGUGGAAUUUGGGAUCAGAUUAGUACUGUUGGGUUUCAUAUUGGGGUUUACUUGCCAGACUAUAUAGCUAUAACCCUGAAGAAAAACACCUUGAAGAUCAAAUGCAAAUGGAUUGGGGAUGCACAUCAAGACUGUCAUUCAUAUGUUGUGUAGUAAUCCAUAUUUCUACAGCUAAUAAUUUUAAGGCAUUUUGUAAGAUGUGUGCAUGUUAGAGUGAAUAUAGAGAAUUAUAUGCUACAAAUGUUAACUAUAUUUUUAUAAUUUUUUCUAAUAUUUUAUUUGGGAAUUUGAUUUAACAUUAAUACCUGUUACUCACCAUCAAAAUGGUGUCUAGAAAGUGUUAGAAAUUUGUUGAUAGCUUUACCCAUAUGAGUAUAUUGACUUUUAUGUUUACUUUAUAAUAGCAAUACAUUUUGGUUGGGACUUGCAUCACCAGUUGCCCUAAUUAUUCAUAUAUUGCCCUUCUGGCAGUCUCUGGGGUUUUUAGAGAUAAACGGAUUUUACACAUAAUUAUGGUACUUGAAUGGACUGUCUAAAAGUUUUCUUCUUAUGGAUCAUUUUGUUUUGUUAAAUGGGAGUUGAGAUGCAUAGUAAAUGUUUUCAGAUAUCUUAAUUGAAUAUUAUGUGCUAUAAGAUAGAAUUGCACACAAUUGAAAUUUUGAACUCAUUUCAACUAAGAAUUCAGGUGAAAAAUCAAAUCAGUUAGCAUACAUGUCUGUUUAAUGUGUUCUAUAAAACACUAAAAAAUGUCAUAUUGAAAAUGUAAAAAGCAGAGAUUUUUAAGCCAAUGUAAUGAGCCUAAUUCUAACCUUCCAAAUAAUGUGCCCCUCCCUUAUUAAUUUUUUAAAAGGGAGUGGCGUGUUGGAGGAGAGAAUUGGAUUUACUGUACUUCAAAUGUUUUGAUAUAAGUUUGUAUUCCGUUACAUUUGGGAGAAUAAUUUCUAUACCAUGUGUGUACGUAUAAUUUUACUACUUAGUUGCUGGUGACUGGAAAACCUUCCAUACAACGUUAUAGUGAGGUUGAAAGCAUUUGUGAAAAAAGCACAGGUCCUAAAUCAAAGGUUUUUGGAAUAGGCAGGCAAUGAUGACUUUCUGUUACGCAACCAGCUUCCCGUCAUCUCAUACUAGCAAAAGACAUUAGGCUGUGAUAAUGCAGUGAAAUAUAUUCAUCAGCUAUCUUAACAUUUGGAAGCAUUGCAUGAGGUUUUAGCCACAUGACUCUUCUUAAAGUCAAUGGGAGUGACAGCUAAAACCCCACACAAUUCUUUUGAAAUGUAACCCUUACUUAAUGGUUUAAAAUAUUAGUUUGUUUUAAUUAAAGCAAAACAGUCAGUAACAUUAAGGAUGUGUAUUGCAUUGGGAAGAGAGAGAACUCAAAUUCAGUGAGUAAUGGGUAUGU